rnacentral:piRNA from 1 species
UAUGAAACUACUUGCAUUACC